AUUUUAUGUGCUCAACACCACACCCUAAAGUGAAGCAAAUCUUUCACACAUCUAAAAGAAUCAGGGGAAUCUGAUCCAGCAAAGACAGCAAAGCAUUCUCCACUCGAUUGUGCCACAAGAUGAAGACAGAAAGGCGCUUCCAUGGUGAUGAUGGCUUGGAAAAGAAAGAUGCAGCGAUUCGUAAACUGAAGGAACAAAAGGAGGAGCUUGAAGAACACAGAGAUCAACUUACACACCAGCUUAAAAAGAUAGAGGCAGAGAAAAAUGAGAACAAGAAGAAGCUUCAACAAGUAGAGGACACAUCAGAAAAAAAAGACCUAUUAAAUGUCAAAUCAAAACUGGAUGACCAGCAGAAAGAUUAUGAAAGUUUUGUGCUCCAUGUGGACCAGCUGCUACAGACAACAGAUACUCUACUUGCAAUAGAGUCUAAGUAGUUGAUAAUGUACUACAAAGAUCAAAUUGAUUUUGUGUUUGAAAGAUGUUUUUAAUCAUGACAUUCUCAUUUCUCAGUUAAUGAAGCUAAAAUGAAGCUUUUUAACAAAAUGAAAUAAUACAAUUAAUAAUUAACUGCAACAUAAGGCAGGUCUUACAGUUGUCUACAAUUUCUUUGCAUGAAAAUGAGUAAAUUUAUGUUGAGAUUGUGUCUGAGAGUCGCACAGUUGUACUUUGUCUGGCUAUUGUAAACAACUCAAUAAAAAG